GCAGUCGUGGCCGAGUGGUUAAGGCGAUGGACUAGAACUCCGUUGGGGUCUCCCCACACAGGUUCGAAUCCUGUACGACUGCG
rnacentral:tRNA from 1 species